CAAAAGAAAGUGGUGAAUAGGGCCUGAAACGGUGGCUCAGAAGCAGAAAGUGAGGCGUUAAAAGACUGAGGUGAAGACUGAAAGGCCACAUGGUCAUAGAUGAUAUGUAUCAUGCAUGAGCUGAGACUGUGAAAGGAAUCACCAGCGCACAAUACGGCGCAUAGCCCGGAAGUAGAAGAUGAGAUCGGGAAGCGGUUCGUCGUGACCCAUCGGUGACCAAUGACACCCAAAACAACACUACAGUCAAAACAAAACAAACAAUAUAAGGAAAAAUGGAAAAAGCAGAAGCUAACUGGCUAAGCUCAGCAGUACUACUGAGCCCCCACCACCACGUCACCCCAGCCAAUUGUCGCAGCAACCACCCUAGUUGGCCCAUCGCCCCCCACUCCAUGCAGUCCCAUUUUCCACGACACGUGUCGAGAAACCACUCGCCAGCCGCACGUGCGGGGUAACCGCACUCCAAAAGGAAUCACUUUCAGUUGAUCAGAGUCCGUGCCCACUCUCCUUUUAUCUUUUCUGUUGUUUGUUGCCUUUUCUUCUUCUCUCUCUCUCCCUGCCAUUAAUCUUUGUUGCUUGCUUUCUUUCCCCUACAGCAGAAGAGAUCGUGUGAAAAUGUUUUCGUAUAUUCUUUCUUUUUUUUUUUUAAGGAACAAUAAUUGUUAUAUACUUUUGAUUUCUUCUUUACAGUCUUUCAUCUAAAUUUAUGUAUAAAAGAGUAGUGGUAGAAUAUGGAGAAGAUCCAGCCAGGAGGAGAGAAAAGAAAAAUGAAGGAAGAAAGAGAGUUGGAGAGUGUGCGUAUGUACUUCAGUGAAGAAAAUGGGUUCGUUACAUGCUUUUCCACGGCUUUCUUGAACUUGGUACUCUGACUUGUCUUCUCUCCUCGUUCUUUCUCCAAUGAUUUGAUUUGAUAAAAUGUGUUGGUGGUAAAAAAGAGGACAUCAAAUUCUUAGUAUGAAGCUCAAGAAAGCCGUGGGAAAACAUGAACGGAUUUUGUUUUACAAGGUUCUUUAGUUGUGGGCUUAUGGGCUUUGUCCACGAUUUUGUUCAUGAGUUUUGGCAGGACAAACUGGCAAAAGGAGUGAAGGAGUGGAGUGAAAAUACACAAUGGGGGACCCCUUUUGUGAAUUGUCCACGAUGAAAGGCCGAACUGUCUGUCAGAUUUUGCAGAAGACGGAAGGGGAUGACCGGCAAAUAUGUUUGAUGUGAUUUGUUGAUUUUUCACCUUCUCCGUUUUCUCCCAACCAAAAAGACACUGAAAGCAGACAACCAAAAUUCCCUUUUUUCUUUUUUUUUUACUGUAGGAAGUGUUUCAUGAUUCUUAUGUGGCCUUCCCUUCAACCUUAUCUCGUCUAUAUUACACUAUUAUUUGAAUUCUGCAAAAACAGAAGAAAUCGGAAAAUGGCAGCAAUGCCUCCAUGCAAUUUUUUAUUUUAAUA